rnacentral:rRNA from 1 species
GACGAACGCUGGCGGCGUGCUUAACACAUGCAAGUCGAACGGUGAAAGCGGAGCUUGCUCCGCUGGAUCAGUGGCGAACGGGUGAGUAACACGUGGGCAACCUGCCCCUCACUUCGGGAUAACUCCGGGAAACCGGGGCUAAUACCGGAUAUGACCUCCUUGGGCAUCCUUGGAGGUGGAAAGUUUUUCGGUGAGGGAUGGGCCCGCGGCCUAUCAGCUUGUUGGUGAGGUAGUGGCUCACCAAGGCGACGACGGGUAGCCGGCCUGAGAGGGCGACCGGCCACACUGGGACUGAGACACGGCCCAGACUCCUACGGGAGGCGGCAGUAGGGAAUCUUCCGCAAUGGACGAAAGUCUGACGGAGCAACGCCGCGUGAGUGAUGAAGGCUUUCGGGUCGUAAAACUCUGUUGUUAGGGAAGAACAAGUGCUAGUUGAAUAAGCUGGCACCUUGACGGUACCUAACCAGAAAGCCACGGCUAACUACGUGCCAGCAGCCGCCGUAA